rnacentral:lncRNA from 1 species
ACUUUGUCAAAACUGAUCUUAGCAUAUGGAUGCUCAGCCAACAGUUUAAUGGACCUAGCUGUACUAUUCACUCAGGUAGCUCCACAGUCAAAACUUCUGGCUAACGAAGCCUCACUCGAAAAUCACCGUAAGUUUCUAUUGUCAUUGAUAAAUUUCUGAUAUCCUCCCUCGGUCACAGUCAGAGAAAAUGGCUAUGGUAGUAAAACUGGCAUUAUCGGGCAUGCUGACUUCUAUUUAAAUUUGUUGUUGUUGUUGUUGUUUAAGAUGAUUUAUUUUAUUUAUGUUUUGUGUUUGCUUGCAAACAUAUGAGCACCACAUAAGUGCAGGAUUCUACCCACAGAGGCCAUAUCGCCUGGAAAUGGAGUUGCAGGUGACUGUUAGGUACCAUGUGGGUUCUAGGAACCAAACUCUGUCCCCUGCAAAAGGCCCUCGCUGCCUGUGCACACGGAUCCAAGAGUUCACCCAACCCUUGCACCAUGGUGCCUCAGAGAGAAAGGUGACAGAUGCUCUAAUGCUCGCUGGUGAGCUACCAUGGGAAUCUAGCCUCCAAAGGACUACAGAAAGAAGCUGGGGGUGGCAGUGUAUGACUGUAACCUGAGCAUCCAGAGGCUGAUGCCACCCUGCACUACACAGUGAAAUGCUGUCUCAUAUACAUUAUUUAAAAAUAUUUAAUUAUUUAAAAAUAAAAGACCCUUUGAGAGGACACUUCGUGGUCACUCACAAAGUAAAGACCCUACGUCCAGACUGCAGGCCUAUUUGUUUCACUCCGAAACAAAAUUGAAAGAAAACCCUUCAAACUGCAUGUGUGAACUCACACCUAUGACCCCAGCACUGGGAAGAUAAAAACUGGAGGCUCGUCCCAUCAUGGUCAUCCUCGGCUACACAGUAAGUUGGAGGUCAGCCUGGGCUUCAUGAGACCUGGUCUCAAAAAGAAAAAGAAAAGGGUGGAGGGUGG